rnacentral:rRNA from 1 species
AGCAGUCGCCGCGGUAAUACGGAGGGUGCAAGCGUUAUCCGGAUUUAUUGGGUUUAAAGGGUCCGUAGGCGGAUCUGUAAGUCAGUGGUGAAAUCUCACAGCUUAACUGUGAAACUGCCAUUGAUACUGCAGGUCUUGAGUAAAUUUGAAGUGGCUGGAAUAAGUAGUGUAGCGGUGAAAUGCAUAGAUAUUACUUAGAACACCAAUUGCGAAGGCAGGUCACUAAGAUUUAACUGACGCUGAUGGACGAAAGCGUGGGGAGCGAACAGGAUUAGAUACCCCUGUAGUCCCUGUCUCUUAUAA